UACGUAGGGGCAAGCGUUGUCCGGAUUUAUUGGGCGUAAAGAGCGUGUAGGCGGCCUGACAGGUCUGCUGUGAAACUCGAGGCUUAACCUCGAGAUGUCGGCGGAAACCAUCUGGCUAGAGUCCGGAAGAGGAGAGUGGAAUUCCUGGUGUAGCGGUGAAAUGCGUAGAUAUCAGGAGGACACCGGUGGUGUAGACGGCUCUCUGGACCGUAACUGACGCUGAGACACGAAAGCGUGGGUAGCAAACAGG
rnacentral:rRNA from 1 species